UUAAGCGACUAAGCGUACACGGUGGAUGCCCUGGCAGUCAGAGGCGAUGAAGGACGUGCUAAUCUGCGAAAAGCGUCGGUAAGGUGAUAUGAACCGUUACAGCCGGCGAUGUCCGAAUGGGGAAACCCAGUGCAAUUCGUUGCACUAUCGUUAACUGAAUACAUAGGUUAACGAGGCGAACCGGGGGAACUGAAACAUCUAAGUACCCCGAGGAAAAGAAAUCAACCGAGAUUCCCCCAGUAGCGGCGAGCGAACGGGGAGCAGCCCAGAGUCUGAAUCAGCUUGUGUGUUAGUGGAACGGUCUGGAAAGUCCGACGGUACAGGGUGAUAGUCCCGUACACCAAAAUGCACAGGUUGUGAACUCGAAGAGUAGGGCGGGACACGUGGUAUCCUGUCUGAAUAUGGGGGGACCAUCCUCCAAGGCUAAAUACUCCUGACUGACCGAUAGUGAACCAGUACCGUGAGGGAAAGGCGAAAAGAACCCCGGCGAGGGGAGUGAAAAAGAACCUGAAACCGUGUACGUACAAGCAGUGGGAGCACCUUCGGGUGUGACUGCGUACCUUUUGUAUAAUGGGUCAGCGACUUAUAUUCUGUAGCAAGGUUAACCGUAUAGGGGAGCCGCAGGGAAACCGAGUCUUAACUGGGCGUUAAGUUGCAGGGUAUAGACCCGAAACCCGGUGAUCUAGCCAUGGGCAGGUUGAAGGUUGGGUAACACUAACUGGAGGACCGAACCGACUAAUGUUGAAAAAUUAGCGGAUGACUUGUGGCUGGGGGUGAAAGGCCAAUCAAACCGGGAGAUAGCUGGUUCUCCCCGAAAGCUAUUUAGGUAGCGCCUCGUGAACUCAUCUUCGGGGGUAGAGCACUGUUUCGGCUAGGGGGUCAUCCCGACUUACCAACCCGAUGCAAACUACGAAUACCGAAGAAUGUUAUCACGGGAGACACACGGCGGGUGCUAACGUCCGUCGUGAAGAGGGAAACAACCCAGACCGCCAGCUAAGGUCCCAAAGUCAUGGUUAAGUGGGAAACGAUGUGGGAAGGCACAGACAGCCAGGAUGUUGGCUUAGAAGCAGCCAUCAUUUAAAGAAAGCGUAAUAGCUCACUGGUCGAGUCGGCCUGCGCGGAAGAUGUAACGGGGCUAAACCAUGCACCGAAGCUGCGGCAGCGACGCUUAUGCGUUGUUGGGUAGGGGAGCGUUCUGUAAGCCUGCGAAGGUGGCCUGUGAGGGUUGCUGGAGGUAUCAGAAGUGCGAAUGCUGACAUAAGUAACGAUAAAGCGGGUGAAAAGCCCGCUCGCCGGAAGACCAAGGGUUCCUGUCCAACGUUAAUCGGGGCAGGGUGAGUCGACCCCUAAGGCGAGGCCGAAAGGCGUAGUCGAUGGGAAACAGGUUAAUAUUCCUGUACUUGGUGUUACUGCGAAGGGGGGACGGAGAAGGCUAUGUUAGCCGGGCGACGGUUGUCCCGGUUUAAGCAUGUAGGCGGAGGUUCCAGGUAAAUCCGGUACCUUUUAACGCUGAGGUGUGAUGACGAGGCACUACGGUGCUGAAGUAACAAAUGCCCUGCUUCCAGGAAAAGCCUCUAAGCAUCAGGUAACAUUAAAUCGUACCCCAAACCGACACAGGUGGUCAGGUAGAGAAUACCAAGGCGCUUGAGAGAACUCGGGUGAAGGAACUAGGCAAAAUGGUGCCGUAACUUCGGGAGAAGGCACGCUGGUGUGUAGGUGAAGUCCCUGCGGAUGGAGCUGAGACCAGUCGAAGAUACCAGCUGGCUGCAACUGUUUAUUAAAAACACAGCACUGUGCAAACACGAAAGUGGACGUAUACGGUGUGACGCCUGCCCGGUGCCGGAAGGUUAAUUGAUGGGGUUAUCCGUAAGGAGAAGCUCUUGAUCGAAGCCCCGGUAAACGGCGGCCGUAACUAUAACGGUCCUAAGGUAGCGAAAUUCCUUGUCGGGUAAGUUCCGACCUGCACGAAUGGCGUAAUGAUGGCCAGGCUGUCUCCACCCGAGACUCAGUGAAAUUGAACUCGCUGUGAAGAUGCAGUGUACCCGCGGCAAGACGGAAAGACCCCGUGAACCUUUACUAUAGCUUGACACUGAACAUUGAGCCUUGAUGUGUAGGAUAGGUGGGAGGCUUUGAAGCGUGGACGCCAGUCUGCGUGGAGCCAACCUUGAAAUACCACCCUUUAAUGUUUGAUGUUCUAACGUUGGCCCCUUAUCGGGGUUGCGGACAGUGUCUGGUGGGUAGUUUGACUGGGGCGGUCUCCUCCCAAAGAGUAACGGAGGAGCACGAAGGUUAGCUAAUCCUGGUCGGACAUCAGGAGGUUAGUGCAAUGGCAUAAGCUAGCUUGACUGCGAGCGUGACGGCGCGAGCAGGUGCGAAAGCAGGUCAUAGUGAUCCGGUGGUUCUGAAUGGAAGGGCCAUCGCUCAACGGAUAAAAGGUACUCCGGGGAUAACAGGCUGAUACCGCCCAAGAGUUCAUAUCGACGGCGGUGUUUGGCACCUCGAUGUCGGCUCAUCACAUCCUGGGGCUGAAGUAGGUCCCAAGGGUAUGGCUGUUCGCCAUUUAAAGUGGUACGCGAGCUGGGUUUAGAACGUCGUGAGACAGUUCGGUCCCUAUCUGCCGUGGGCGCUGGAGAAUUGAGGGGGGCUGCUCCUAGUACGAGAGGACCGGAGUGGACGCAUCACUGGUGUUCGGGUUGUCAUGCCAAUGGCACUGCCCGGUAGCUAAAUGCGGAAGAGAUAAGUGCUGAAAGCAUCUAAGCACGAAACUUGCCCCGAGAUGAGUUCUCCCUGAGACUUUAAGUCUCCUGAAGGAACGUUGAAGACGACGACGUUGAUAGGCCGGGUGUGUAAGCGCAGCGAUGCGUUGAGCUAACCGGUACUAAUGAACCGUGAGGCUUAACCUU
rnacentral:rRNA from 1 species